UACGUAGGGUGCGAGCGUUAAUCGGAAUUACUGGGCGUAAAGCGUGCGCAGGCGGUUUGUUAAGACAGAUGUGAAAUCCCCGGGCUUAACCUGGGAAUGGCGUUUGUAACUGGCAAGCUAGAGUGUGUCAGAGGGAGGUAGAAUUCCACGUGUAGCAGUGAAAUGCGUAGAGAUGUGGAGGAACACCAGUGGCGAAGGCGACUCUUUGGCCUGUAACUGACACUGAGGCGCGAAAGCGUGGGGAGCAAACAGG
rnacentral:rRNA from 1 species